ACAGUGAUCCUCCUGCCUCAGCCUCCUGAGUGCUGGGAUUCCAGGCGUGCGCCACCACGCCCAGCAGGAAUGACUUUCGAAUGGUGAAAUUCCUGGCGAUAAAAUCACGCUCGGCACUGGUUUUUAUUCGGAGCCGAAUCGUAUCGCACAAGGACUAUUCAUUCGAGCGGAGCGCGUCCUCAGGGAUCCAGUAGGGGCUUUCCUCGGGCUCUGCGGCUCGGCCAGCUGUUUUCCGCGGCAGACCCCGCAGCACCCGUUUGAAGCUGUAUGCUGCCCUCUAGUGGCUUUCAGGGAUACAUCGUCAGCUUUGGCUCCAGGCUGCAGGCGAGGAGGAGCCCGGGCUGGUUUCACCAGGGGAUGCUGGCACAGGCCUCGCCGGUUUUCGUGCAGCCCAUGCUUUCAUCACGGCUGACUGCAAAUCAGCGUCAGGCUCUGCACUGCCCAUCCACCCGGAAAAGUACAGCCAGCACCGAAGAGCCCAGGCACCAACCAGGCUGAGCCCUUACAGUGUCCCGCAAGGCCUUUUGUAACUGUCACCUCCCUUCUUACCCCGCUCACCCUGACCCCGAGAGGCAGGAACGGGCGGAGGAAGGAGCUCAGCAGGAUGCGGCUUCGGCCGGAGUUCGCUUAGCGAUCCGCACCGUGGAGGAAAAUAACCCGGGUACAGGUUAGGCAGUGCUGGCUUUAUGUUCUAUUUCUUUAACUGACAAAUAAAGUAUAAACAAACAAGCCUCCACAGCCACAGGUGCUGUACGGGUGGAGUCAACCUACCGCGCAUCAAACAUAUAUUAAAAACGCAGCUGUCAUGAAUACACACACAUUGUUUUCUAAUCGUCACCCCCCAAGCAACAGUGUCGCCCCUCCCUCCGCGGAAGCGAUGCUGUGUGAGGUGUUACGAGCCACGGAGGGACUGUCUACAGCCUGCAGGACGGUGUGCGCGGGUUCUGUGCAAAUAGAGCCGAGCGUGGUAGCGCACGCCUGGAACCCCAGCACUCGGGAGGCUGAGGCAGGAGGAUCCUUGCAAGUUCGAGGCCAGCCUGGGCUACAAAGCCUAAAAUGUUCCCUCGAAGUUUCGUGUGUGUGGAGGGUGAUGCACCCUGAGGGUGCCACACUCGCCGGUGGAUUCAUCAGUGCGCUGGUAGGAGGCGGGGCCCGGUUGGAGGGGGUCCCCGGGGGCGUGGCCUGGAAGGCUGGGUCCUUGUCCCGGGCCCCUCCAGUCUCUGGGCUUCCUGGCUGCCGGGGGCUGUGUCUCGGUCACAGUACCCCACGACCACGACUUAAGGGAGAAGUUUAUUUCGGUUCAUGCUUACAGGCGGUGGCCGGCUGACUGCCAGGCGGAAGGAGCACGGCAGGGGGCGCGGUGGGGGAAAUUUGCCCAGGUUCGGUGGUCAGACAGCAGAGAAAAGCUCAGGAGGGAGGUCCCGCCACGUCACACCCCCAGGGACCCCUUCGGAUCAGGCCUCACCUCCUAACGCCAAGUCAGCUGUAGUGUCCCCACAAUCCAGUGACCCCUCCCCCAGCCCCGUCUCUGAGGGCACCAGGCUCUGGGGGGACAUUUCAGAUCCAAAACAACAGCAGGUCUGGACCCACCGUGCCCCUUCUGCCAUCUGUUUCUGCCUCGGAGCCAGCCAGCCAUCGGCAGAAGCUAGAGGGAGCCUCUCCUCCGCCGAGCCGUGGGUCCCGGGUACUGCGCCUUAGUGACGGGAAACGAACUCGGACAGUCAGCGGCUCAGGCACCCGCGGAUCUCGGUACCUCCUGGGAGUCCUGGAAAUGCCCACCUGCCACGGGUGUGGGUGCUGCUUUGAACACUGGCGUACAGAUUCCUGGCUGCUUGGGGUGAGCACCCAAAAGGGAAAUGGCUGGGUUUCGUGGUAAUUCUAUUUUUAAUUUUUGGGGAACCCCUCGUUUCCACCUCUUGCAUUCCCACCAGCAGCUGUACCAUUUUGCGUUCCCGCCAGCAGCUCCCAAGGGUCCCAAUUUCUCCACAUCUGCUGCAAGCGCUUCGUUCCUUUCUCCAUUAUACCCAUCCUAAGGGGAGGGUGUGGGUCUCUCCGCGGGUUUGAUGCGCAUUUCCCCGACCAUCAGUGGCCUCGGGUGUCCGUCCUCUCUUGUGUGGGAGGCUUCUGAGCGAGGAUGGUGAUUCAGUCUGGACAGUGAAAGCGCUGGACCUGGCCUAGCACGAGGUGUCUGGUCUGCAGUUCACAGGGCUGCCCUUCUGCUGUCCUUUCUCUUUCUCCCACGAGGAUUUUAAAAAUGUAGACGGCGUUGAUUUUUGCAGAUUCUCUCUCAUCCUUCAGCGUGUUAUUGGAAGCUUUAGUUAAUCCUGGGUCUCCGCCCCUUCGAGUUCCUUGUCUGUGAUAAAGCUGAAAAGCAAUAAACGUGACUUAAAAACUUC